rnacentral:lncRNA from 1 species
CGCAUAAAAGGAUGCACAAACAGCUGCAGUCUUUUCCACAGCGAAUGCACCCACGAGCUGAAAAAGUCAUGAUUCGAGAUCACCCAUCUCAACCUCAGUUUUCACAAAAUCUACAAGUUCAGCAAGGUGGCCAACUACAAGGUCAGAAUCCUGCAUCUGCUGUUCAGACUAAUCCAACAGCACCACAAGCUUGGCAAAUGAAUAAUCUGCAACAGCAGAAUCUUUCCCAUACUUUUCAGUUUGAACCACUCGUGCAUCCUACUACGAAUCCUCAAUUACAGAUGUCUCA